GAUCCUAUGGAUCGGUUAUUUCGAUGAGUUGAGCUUAAAUAGCUCUUCGAGGACCCAGUGGAGGGCAAGUCUGGUGCCACCAGCCGCGGUAAUUCCAGCUCCACUAGUGUAAAUCGUCAUUGCUGCGGUUAAAAAGCUCGUAGUUGGAUCUGAGUCGCGUACGUUGGUUCGCCUUUGGCGUUAAUCUUCGUUGCGACUAUUUUGCUGGUUUUCUGUGGGUAACUUCGGUUCCCGCAGUGGCUAGCGAGUUUACUUUGAAUAAAUUAGAGUGCUCAAAACAAGCGAUUGCUUGAAUGCUCGAUCAUGGAAUAAUAAAAGAGGACUUCGGUUCUAUUUAUUGGUUCAAGAACUGAAUUAAUGGUUAAGAGGGACAAUUCGGGGGCAUUCGUAUCCCUGCGCGAGAGGUGAAAUUCGUGGACCGCAGGGGGACGCCCAAAAGCGAAAGCAUUUGCCAAGAAUGUCUUCAUUAAUCAAGAACGAAAGUCAGAGGUUCGAAGGCGAUUAGAUACCGCCCUAGUUCUGACCGUAAACUAUGCCAUCUAGCGAUUCGAUGGGACAUCUUUGUCUCGUCGAGGAGCUUCCCGGAAACGAAAGUCUUUCGGUUCCUGGGGUAGUAUGGUUGCAAAGCUGAACUUAAAGAAAUUGACGGAAGGGCACCACCAGGAGUGGAGCCUGCGGCUUAAUUUGACCCAACACGGGAAAACUCACCCGGCCCGGACACCGUUAGGAUUGACAGAUUGAAAGCUCUUUCUCGAUUUGGUGGUUGGUGGUGCAUGGCCGUUCUUAGUUGGUGGAGCGAUUUGUCUGGUUUAUUCCGAUAACGAGCGAGACUCUAGCCUACUAAAUAGUUUCUGGAUUUUUUGGUCCAGUUAACUUCUUAGAGGGAUAAGCGGUGUUUAACCGCACGAGAUUGAGCGAUAACAGGUCUGUGAUGCCCUUAGAUGUCCGGGGCUGCACGCGCGCUACACUGGAAGAAUCAGCUGGUAUUCCAUUGCCGAAAGGUAUUGGUAAACCGUUGAAACUCUUCCGUGACCGGGAUAGGGAAUUGUAAUUAUUUCCCUUGAACGAGGAAUUCCUAGUAAGUGUGAGUCAUCAGCUCACGUUGAUUACGUCCCUGCCCUUUGUACACACCGCCCGUCGCUGUCCGGGACUGAGCUGUUCCGAGAAGAGUGAGGACUGCUGCAGCGAGGCUUCGGCUUUACUGUGAUGGAAAUCACUUUA
rnacentral:rRNA from 1 species